GACAACAAUCAACCUGUUCCUUUUCGACUUCUUUUUUAUCUCCUAACUCUAUUGGGGCUAAGAUCGUUACGAAAGAAAAGUCAAAAACGAACAGAAAGCCUCCCACUGGGAGGCUUUUUUAUA
rnacentral:ncRNA from 1 species